UUCUGUCAUGCUUGGUCUACAAAAAGGAGGAGCCAAGGAGCCCAAAAACCAUACCAGCCCUCAACUCUUCUAAGACUCCAAGUAGAAGGUUGCGAGGUCUAAAGAUGAGACGCCACCAGAACAAGUUUUCCUCAGAGGAUGACUACUGCACCUGUGUGUCCAAAAUGGAGAAGAAGACAAGCAUGACUGAAGGGCCUCACUUCCCUCAGCUUCGCACUGUGUUCAAGCACAAGGAGUUCCAUGAGGAAGAGGGGACGUCGAACCAUGGAAUCUUCGGCCGGCCAAAGCAAAAGGAGUGGUUCGAAGAGGAGACCUAUGAAAUCACUGAGACGAAGGUCGAGGCAGCUUGAAAGCACAUUAUGUAUAGUUCUGUGGUGAUGGAUGCCAUGGCUUGGCAUCUUUAUAAAAUAAAUCUCUCGCUGCUCUACUGUAUCCUAUAUCCAUAUGUACUGUACUUCUCUAGUACUCAAUAAAGGUAUAUAUAGUUCUAUACUUUAGUACGUGUUUUCAGGUAGAGUUUUGAGAAUCCUACAACAACUCUUUUCCCCCUUCUGUUUUGAUAAUAUAAUUUGGAAAGAGGUAGGAUACUUUACACUUGAAGCCUUUUGGUGCAAAAUCAACUGAUGACAUUCUAAAAUUUUGAUAACGAUAUAAGACAUCUACACGAAUCAAGUGUUUGUAAGUUCUAUCUAUGCGCCAAGAGGAUGCAAACGAACGGCAUAAGUAGUGCUAAUAUGUUAAAAUGCAUGAUAGGGUGUGAAAAUUUUGAAUCCAGUCCAUGGAUUAUGAUCACUUCUUAGAAACCAUAUGUUAAGUAAAGCCCAAUAUGUUUGAGCGCUUCUAAAUCUAAAGUCAUAUGAAAACAUUAUAUAUAUUGACCCAUAAAAGUUUUCAAUAUUUAAGACUUGACGCAUAGAUAAAUUAACUUCAAAACAUAUUACUUCUAUUCCUAAGUAUUUUAGAUGUUUUAGAUCAUUAUUGGCGACAGAUUGUCAUUUUAGAACUUUGAUGAUGGAUUUGCACCUGCUGCCUGGCGUAUUGGAGCCACUCGAGCAUGUUAGACUAAUCUGCCUCAUCUGUAAAUGCUUAAAGCUUCAUUCAAAUUGCAGAAUUUGUUUAACUACAAAGGAAGUAGUUUAAUCAAUUGCAGAUAGAGGUGACAGAACUUCACAGCAGGUUUCCUGGCUGUUGCAAUAUAUGUUAAAUAUAUAGUUGAGAGGAUUAUACUUUUCUGGAGUCAAAAAUGGUUGAAAACUCACCAAGACUUCUUUAAAAGCAUGCAGGAUAUUUGGAUGUUUUACAGAGGGAAGGUGUGACCAGAAACAAGAUCUAUGUCUGCCCGCCAAAUGCACACAGUUGCGAGAGAUGGCGAGCUUGGAGAUUUUCUGAUUAAAGCAUCAUGCCAGGAAGAUAGUUCAUGGUGGAUUCUAGAGUGAUCGCACUUUGAACAUCAAUCUCAAAGCACUGAAUGCAUGUACUAUCACAUAUAGGCCUUGCAACUGAUCAUGAAGUUCGCUCAUAAAAUCUUGGAUGCACCUUGUGAUAAUCAUAAGCAUUCCUGAGGGGAGGACUCUGACAUUGAGAGCAAAUACAACUAAUUACAUGUCAUACCUCGAAUCCAUCAUAUGGGUCGACCAUGUGACAUGAUCGCAUGAAUCCUAGAGCAAGCUCUAGAGGCUAUUUCUAAAGCCUAUAAGAUGGCUCUAUCGCUUGUACUUCACCAUCAAACCCUUCCAAUGUUGCACAUUCCAUAACUCUGAAAGAAAAAAGAGAAUUGGGGGUGUGAACUUUACAAUAUAGUAAGCAUAUUAUUACAUUUACAUCAAUAUAAUAAUAUAAUUCAAAAAUAAUGAUUGAAUGGUAUCAGAGAAAAAUCAUAAGCCACAAUCUCAUAUCAAGCAACUAAUAUAACUCAAUAGUUAUAUAAACAUAUAUCAUAAAAUAUAUGUUAUCAUAAAUCCAUUAUAAAUAUCAUCGGUGGUUUCAUAUGACUUAUUAUUUAUAUUUCAUUAAUAUGAUCCAAAUCAAUAGUUGUGUUUUAGUUUAGAUUAAUUAUGGUCAUGCUUCAGACUAUAACUGACAAAUCAUAAAUCAUAUUUCGAUCCGUAAUGACAAUCCAUAAUAUCCGCACUUUGGUUUGUAAUGACAAACUAAGAUAUUUGAGCUUCGAUCCAUGGUGGCAAAUCAAUGUGUCAUAAUUUGGCCCAUAAUAGGCAAUCUAAGGUGUUACUAUUCAGCCCAUGGCUGGUAAUCCGUAUCAUAGCUAGUUUAAAUCCUCUUACAUAGUUAAUGCACCAUUCAAUAAUUUUAUAUUAUAUUUCUUAUCCAAUUUCAAACAUUCGAUAUUUAAUCUCAGCAAUCCAAAUAGUCACACAUGAUACAAAUAUAAUGAUCUAUCAUAUAUUCGACAUGAAACCAGAAAUGAGCAUGCAUAAAACAAAAAAAUCAUAUAUAUAGGCGAUCAUAUAAAGAGACUCUUAUCUUUAUUAAUUUCAGACUCAAGCAAUCGAUCAACUCCUCGAUCUACGAACUAUGAAAUAAGGUAUUUCACUCGAUACCUUCUUGUGCAGGCAGUUGCACCUUUACAUAAUCAAGAUUAACAUAAAAUCAUAAGUGAUCAAGGAUGGAGAAAAAUUACGGAAAAAUAUUCGAACGUUAUAGGCCCAAGACCCCCCUGAGGGUCAGGUCAUAUCUGGACCCUCUACUGGUCUAUAGAAUUUUCAGAUAGAGAAAUCCAUGCAGAGAGAGAAACAAUCAAGAGAGAGAAAAUUAUAGGGAGAGAAAAUGGAGAGAGAAACUAGGAAAAGCAAGUAAAGAGAGGGAAGGAAGAGAGAGAAAAAAAAAGAGAAACUCUCUCUCUUUUUUCUUCUCUUUUUUUUCUUUUUUUUUUUCUUCUCUUUCUCUUGUUAUCUCUUUCUUCUUUGCAGAAAAUAGGGGAAGGCAAACCUGCGCCGACCACCUUUCAUAGUGGUGGCCUCCCGGUUGUAGCAAAUCCCGAUGCCUCUGGCCCUUAGGGCCCAACAUGGUUGGCAACGGUGGUGGACACAGCAAAAGAAGGGAAGAAGAUGGGAACAGAGAAGGCUCUGUUUAUUAUGAAAUCCGGUGAUCUCCAGCGGCAAUUGGGCGAUUAAACCCGUUAUCGAUGGUUGGGGAACUCGGGAUGACUAUGGUGAAGAGAUUGAGAUGGAUUAUGUUACCUUUGGCGAUGAAUCAAUAGUGAAUUGUGGAGAACAAUCAAUGAAAAAUCAGAGAAAUCUGAGGGGUUCUCCGAUAAUCAAUCGAGACUGAGGGGCGACUCACUUAGAGGGGGACAGAAGGGAUUUUAUAGUCGGGAUCUAGAGUUCUGGCAAGUUUUAGACCCUGAUCCUGAUCGGACUCAAAGAGGAAAGUCGGACUCCAUCGGGAAUCCUCUUCCACCACACAUGCCCAACAUGUAAGAUUUUAAAAAUUUUAUUUUUUUGUUUGUCUAUUUUAAGAUUUAUGCGAGAAAAACUAAUGGGUCAAAUUUUUACAUUCUUCUUCUCUUAAAAUAAUUCUAUUCUCGAAGUCAGUAUACACAAAGCAGAAAUCUUAAGGGUUUAUUUUAUCUUCGAGCUCCUAAAUAGUCUGGUUCACUGGAAAAUAAAAUUCAAGACCUCUAUCGAUCAUAACACCCCAUGAAAAGGACACUUUUGAGGAACCGAUUACGUCUGAUCCAGCACCACCCAAAGCUACUCCAUCAAAGUUCAAAAAUACCGGCUGGCUGGCAGACAAAAGUUAGAGUAUAAGAUGCACCUCUUAUCUUCAAGGAAUAAAUUCCAUAAUGCUUGGUCUAUAAAAAGGAGGAGCCAAGGAGCUCAGAAACCAAACCAACCUCAGCUCUUCUAAAACUCCAAAUAGAAGGUUGCGAGGUCUAAAGAUGAGCUGCCACCAGAGCAAGUUUUCCUCAGAGGAUGACUACCGCACCUAUGUGUCCAAAAUGGAGAAGAAGACAAGCAUGAAUGAAGGGCCUUACUCCCCUCAGCUUCACACUGUGUUCAAGCACAAGGAGUUCCACGAGGAAGAGAAGAAGUCGCACCAUGGAAUUUUCGGCCGGCCAAGGCAAAAGGAGUCAUUCGAAGAGGAGACCUAUGAAAUCACUGAGACGACGAUCGGAGCAGCUUGAAAGCAUGAUGUAUAGUUCUGUGGUAAUGGAUGCCAUGGCUUGGCAUCUUUAUAAAAUAAAUCUCUAGCUGCUCUACUGUAUCCUAUCCAUAUGAAUAAUAAUGUACUUCUGUAGUACUCAAUAGAGGUAUAUAUAUAUAUAGUUCUAUACUUUAGCCUACUACUUUCACCCUUGACGUCUUUAGUACGUGUUUUCAGGUAGAGUUUUGAGAAUCCUACAACUCUUUCCCCCUUCGUUUUCAAUAAUACAAUUUGGAAAGAGGUAGGAUAGUUUACACUUUGAAGCCCUAAGUAUAUUGGUGCAAAAUCAACUGAUGACAUUCUAUAAUGUUGAUCCAAGUCAUUGAUAAUGGUCUAAUAAGACAUCCACAAGAAUUAAUCAAGUAUUUGUAACUUCUAUCUAUGCACCAAGAGGAUGCAAAUGAGAUGGCAUAAGUAGUGCUAAUAUGUUAAAAAUGCAUGAUUGGGUGUGAAAAUUUUGAAUUCAGUCCAUGGAUUAUGAUCACUUCAUAGAAACCAUAUGUUAAGUACAGCUCAAUAUGUUUGAGCGCUUCUAAAUCCAAAGUCAUAUGAAAACAUUAU
rnacentral:lncRNA from 1 species